rnacentral:rRNA from 1 species
UAGGGAAUCUUCGGCAAUGGACGAAAGUCUGACCGAGCAACGCCGCGUGAGUGAAGAAGGUUUUCGGAUCGUAAAACUCUGUUGUUAGAGAAGAACAAGGACGUUAGUAACUGAACGUCCCCUGACGGUAUCUAACCAGAAAGCCACGGCUAACUACGUGCCAGCAGCCGCGGUAAUACGUAGGUGGCAAGCGUUGUCCGGAUUUAUUGGGCGUAAAGCGAGCGCAGGCGGUUUCUUAAGUCUGAUGUGAAAGCCCCCGGCUCAACCGGGGAGGGUCAUUGGAAACUGGGAGACUUGGGUGCAGAAGAGGAGAGUGGAAUUCCAUGUGUGGCGGUGAAAUGCGUAGAUAUAUGGAGGAACAACAGUGGCGAAGGCGGCUCUCUGGUCUGUAACUGACGCUGAGGCUCGAAAGCGUGGGGAGCAAACAGG